rnacentral:ncRNA from 2 species
UUACCUUUGAUCAGUUUUGGUGUUGCAAUGAUAUGAAUUCGUUGCAAUGAAAAGGGAAUGCGGUUUGAAUCCGCGACAGUACCCGCUGCUGUGAUGCCCGGUCACGCUUUGCGUGAUGAUGGUCUUAAGAAAUACCUGCCACUGUCCCGCUUUUGAGACAAAAACAGGAUGGGAAGGCUUCUUAAGACCGGGAUAAGUCAGAAGACCUGCCAGACAAUUAUAUGUUCA